rnacentral:rRNA from 1 species
AAAAGCUCGUAGUUGAAUUUCUGCGUUAUCGAGUUAUUGACUCUUGUCUUUAAUCGAUUUCGCUUUUGGGAUUUAUCCCUUUUUACUUUGAGAAAAUUAGAGUGUUUCAAGCAGACUUUUGUCUUGAAUACUUCAGCAUGGAAUAAUAGAGUAGGACUUUGGUUCUAUUUUGUUGGUUUUUGAACCUUAGUAAUGGUUAAUAGGAACGGUUGGGGGCAUUCGUAUUUAACUGUCAGAGGUGAAAUUCUUAGAUUUGUUAAAGACGAACUACUGCGAAAGCAUUUGCCAAGGACGUUUCCU